GAAGGUGAUGAUUGUUUUUUUGUCGCCCCAGUCUUAGUUGCGUCAAUAGAUGCAACAUGGUGAUUGACAUGUCAUUUCUGAUUC
rnacentral:snoRNA from 1 species